AGAUUGAACUGAAGAGUUUGAUCCUGGCUCAGAUUGAACGCUGGCGGCAUGCUUUACACAUGCAAGUCGAACGGUAACAGGGAGCUUGCUCCGCUGACGAGUGGCGAACGGGUGAGUAAUAUAUCGGAACGUACCCAAGAGUGGGGGAUAACGUAGCGAAAGUUACGCUAAUACCGCAUACGAUCUACGGAUGAAAGCAGGGGACCGCAAGGCCUUGUGCUCCUGGAGCGGCCGAUAUCUGAUUAGCUAGUUGGUAGGGUAAAGGCCUACCAAGGCAUCGAUCAGUAGCUGGUCUGAGAGGACGACCAGCCACAC
rnacentral:rRNA from 1 species